rnacentral:rRNA from 1 species
AACGCUAGCUACAGGCUUAACACAUGCAAGUCGAGGGGCAGCAUGGUCUUAGCUUGCUAAGGCCGAUGGCGACCGGCGCACGGGUGAGUAACACGCAUCCAACCUGCCGUCUACUCUUGGACAGCCUUCUGAAAGGAAGAUUAAUACAAGAUGGCAUCAUGAGUCCGCAUGUUCACAUGAUUAAAGGUAUUCCGGUAGACGAUGGGGAUGCGUUCCAUUAGAUAGUAGGCGGGGUAACGGCCCACCUAGUCUUCGAUGGAUAGGGGUUCUGAGAGGAAGGUCCCCCACAUUGGAACUGAGACACGGUCCAAACUCCUACGGGAGGCAGCAGUGAGGAAUAUUGGUCAAUGGGCGAGAGCCUGAACCAGCCAAGUAGCGUGAAGGAUGACUGCCCUAUGGGUUGUAAACUUCUUUUAUAAAGGAAUAAAGUCGGGUAUGGAUACCCGUUUGCAUGUACUUUAUGAAUAAGGAUCGGCUAACUCCGUGCCAGCAGCCGCGGUAAUACGGAGGAUCCGAGCGUUAUCCGGAUUUAUUGGGUUUAAAGGGAGCGUAGAUGGAUGUUUAAGUCAGUUGUGAAAGUUUGCGGCUCAACCGUAAAAUUGCAGUUGAUACUGGAUAUCUUGAGUGCAGUUGAGGCAGGCGGAAUUCGUGGUGUAGCGGUGAAAUGCUUAGAUAUCACGAAGAACUCCGAUUG